rnacentral:rRNA from 1 species
CAGUAGGGAAUCUUCCACAAUGGACGAAAGUCUGAUGGAGCAACGCCGCGUGAGUGAAGAAGGUUUUCGGAUCGUAAAGCUCUGUUGUUGGUGAAGAAGGAUAGAGGUAGUAACUGGCCUUUAUUUGACGGUAAUCAACCAGAAAGUCACGGCUAACUACGUGCCAGCAGCCGCGGUAAUACGUAGGUGGCAAGCGUUGUCCGGAUUUAUUGGGCGUAAAGCGAGCGCAGGCGGAAGAAUAAGUCUGAUGUGAAAGCCCUCGGCUUAACCGAGGAACUGCAUCGGAAACUGUUUUUCUUGAGUGCAGAAGAGGAGAGUGGAACUCCAUGUGUAGCGGUGGAAUGCGUAGAUAUAUGGAAGAACACCAGUGGCGAAGGCGGCUCUCUGGUCUGCAACUGACGCUGAGGCUCGAAAGCAUGGGUAGCGAACAGGAUUAGAUACCCUGGUAGUCCAUGCCGUAAACGAUGAGUGCUAAGUGUUGGGAGGUUUCCGCCUCUCAGUGCUGCAGCUAACGCAUUAAGCACUCCGCCUGGNGA